rnacentral:rRNA from 1 species
UUAAGUCCCGCAACGAGCGCAACCCCUAUUGUUAGUUGCCAUCAUUCAGUUGGGCACUCUAGCGAGACUGCCGGUAAUAAACCGGAGGAAGGUGGGGAGUGACGUCAAAUCAUCAUGCCCCUUAUGACCUGGGCUACACACGUGCUACAAUGGUUGGUACAACGAGUUGCGAGUCGGUGACGGCGAGCUAAUCUCUUAAAGCCAAUCUCAGUUCGGAUUGUAGGCUGCAACUCGCCUACAUGAAGUCGGAAUCGCUAGUAAUCGCGGAUCAGCACGCCGCGGUGAAUACGUUCCCGGGCCUU